rnacentral:rRNA from 1 species
CUACAAAGGAAUUGACGGGGCCCGCACAAGCGGUGGAGCAUGUGGUUUAAUUCGACGCAACGCGAAGAACCUUACCAGGGAUUGACAUCCCCUGACCGGGUAUGAAAGUACCCAAAUUCUCCUUCGGGGGACAGGGAGACAGGUGGUGCAUGGUUGUCGUCAGCUCGUGUCGUGAGAUGUUGGGUUAAGUCCCGCAACGAGCGCAACCCUUACGUUUAGUUGCUAACGGGAGAGCUGAGCACUCUAGACGAACUGCCGUUGACAAAACGGAGGAAGGUGGGGAUGACGUCAAAUCAUCAUGCCCCUUAUACUCUGGGCUACACACGUGCUACAAUGGUCCGUACAGAGGGCAGCGAGCCGGUGACGGCAAGCGAAUCCCUUAAAGCGGAUCUCAGUUCGGAUUGCAGGCUGCAACCCGCCUGCAUGAAGUCGGAAUCGCUAGUAAUCGCGGAUCAGCAUGCCGCGGUCGAAUACGUUCCCGGGCCUU